AGUGAACGCUGGCGGUAGGCCUAACACAUGCAAGUCGAACGGCAGCACAGUAAGAGCUUGCUCUUACGGGUGGCGAGUGGCGGACGGGUGAGGAAUACAUCGGAAUCUACUUUUUCGUGGGGGAUAACGUAGGGAAACUUACGCUAAUACCGCAUACGACCUACGGGUGAAAGCAGGGGAUCUUCGGACCUUGCGCGAUUGAAUGAGCCGAUGUCGGAUUAGCUAGUUGGCGGGGUAAAGGCCCACCAAGGCGACGAUCCGUAGCUGGUCUGAGAGGAUGAUCGGCCACACUGGAACUGAGACACGGUCCAGACUCCUACGGGAGGCAGCAGUGUGGAAUAUUGGACAAAGGGCGCAAGCCUGAUCCAGCCAUACCGCGUGGGUGAAGAAGGCCUUCGGGUUGUAAAGCCCUUUUGUUGGGAGAGAAAAGCAGCAGGUUAAUACCCCGCUGUUCUGACGGUACCCAAAGAAUAAGCACCGGCUAACUUCGUG
rnacentral:rRNA from 1 species